rnacentral:piRNA from 1 species
UUCUCGAAGGUAGAUUAUUUU